rnacentral:rRNA from 1 species
AGCGAACGCUGGCGGCAGGCCUAACACAUGCAAGUCGAACGAAGUCUUCGGACUUAGUGGCGGACGGGUGAGUAACACGUGGGAACGUACCUUUUGGUUCGGAACAACUCAGGGAAACUUGAGCUAAUACCGAAUGUGCCCUUAGGGGGAAAGAUUUAUCGCCAUUAGAGCGGCCCGCGUUAGAUUAGCUAGUUGGUGGGGUAAAGGCCCACCAAGGCUACGAUCUAUAGCUGGUCUGAGAGGAUGAUCAGCCACACUGGGACUGAGACACGGCCCAGACUCCUACGGGAGGCAGCAGUGGGGAAUCUUGCGCAAUGGGCGAAAGCCUGACGCAGCCAUGCCGCGUGAAUGAUGAAGGUCUUAGGAUUGUAAAAUUCUUUCAGUAGGGACGAUAACGACGGUACCUACAGAAGAAGCCCCGGCUAACUUCGUGCCAGCAGCCGCCGCCGUAA